CCCCUUCUGGGAAAGACCGAGUGAAGAAAGGUGGAUCCUACAUGUGCCAUAGGUCUUAUUGUUACAGGUAUCGCUGUGCUGCUCGGAGCCAGAACACACCUGAUAGCUCUGCUUCGAAUCUGGGAUUCCGCUGUGCAGCCGACCGCCUGCCCACUAUGGACUGACAACCAAGGAAAGUCUUCCCCAGUCCAAGGAGCAGUCGUGUCUGACCUACAUUGGGCUUUUCUCAGAACUUUGAACGAUCCCAUGCAAAGAAUUCCCACCCUGAGGUGGGUUACAUACCUGCCCAAUGGCCAAAGGAACCGCCUUGUGAGACCAAAUUGCUGACCUGGGUCAGUGCAUGUGCUUUAUGGUGUGGUGCAUCUUUGGAGAUCAUCACCAUAUUUUACUUUUGAGAGUCUUUAAAGAGGAAGGGGAGUGGAGGGAACCCUGAGCUAGGCUUCAGGAGGCCCGCGUCCUACGCAGGCUCUGCCACAGGGGUUAGACCCCAGGUCCGACGCUUGACCUUCCUGGGCCUCAAGUGCCCUCCCCUAUCAAAUGAAGGGAUGGACAGCAUGACCUCUGGGUGUCUCUCCAACUCACCAGUUCUAAAAAGGGUAUCAGAUUCUAUUGUGACUUCAUAGUGAGAAUUUAUUAUAGAUUAUUUUUUAGCUAUUUUUUCCAUGUGUGAACCUUGAGUGAUACUAAUCAUGUAAAGUAAGAGUUCUCUUAUGUAUUAUUUUCGGAAGAGGGGUGUGGUGACUCCUUUAUAUUCGUACUGCACUUUGUUUUUCCAAGGAAAUCAGUGUCUUUUACGUUGUUAUGAUGAAUCCCACAUGGGGCCGGUGAUGGUAUGCUGAAGUUCAGCCGUUGAACACAUAGGAAUGUCUGUGGGGUGACUCUACUGUGCUUUAUCUUUUAACAUUAAGUGCCUUUGGUUCAGAGGGGCAGUCAUAAGCUCUGUUUCCCCCUCUCCCCAAAGCCUUCAGCGAACGUGAAAUGUGCGCUAAACGGGGAAACCUGUUUAAUUCUAGAUAUAGG
rnacentral:lncRNA from 10 species